rnacentral:rRNA from 1 species
CCUGAAAGAUUAUAGGAGGUCCAGCCUGCCCAGUGAUAAAAUUAAACGGCCGCGGUACCCUAACCGUGCGAAGGUAGCGCAAUCACUUGUUCUUUAAAUGAGGACUAGUAUGAACGGCAUCACGAGGAUUAUACUGUCUCCCUUCUUUAAUCAGUGAAACUGAUCCCCCCGUGAAGAAGCGGGAAUAAACAUAUAAGACGAGAAGACCCUAUGGAGCUUUAAACUUAACACCACUUAUCUAAAACACUUCAUAAUAAACAGAUAAGCUUGUGCGCGUUUUAGGUUGGGGUGACCGCGGAGUAAAAUUUAACCUCCACGUUGAAAGGCCUUUAUCCUUAUCCAAGAGCCACAUCUCCAAGAAUCAACAAAUUGACAUUUAUUGACCCAAAUUUUUUUGAUCAACGAAC